UACAGAGGGUGCGAGCGUUGUCCGGAAUCACUGGGCGUAAAGGGCGCGUAGGUGGCGACCCAAGUCGAUGGUGAAAGCUCGCCGCUCAACGGCGAGUCGGCCACCGAUACUGGGUUGCUCGAGCACUGUAGAGGCUCAUGGAAUUCCGGGUGUAGCGGUGGAAUGCGUAGAGAUCCGGAAGAACACCGGUGGCGAAGGCGGUCUGCUGGGGUAAUGCUGACACUGAUGCGCAACAGCGUGGGGAGCAAACAGG
rnacentral:rRNA from 1 species